GUGGGCGUAGCUCAAUCUGGUUAGAGCACUUGACUGUGGCUCAAGAUGUUGGGGGUUCGAAUCCCCUCGCCCACC
rnacentral:tRNA from 1 species